GAGCUCAGGGGCCACUGCCUAGCCGAGGCCAGAGGGCUGUGUUCUGCGGUAUUGCCUUGACUGGAGCUGGGUUCUCCCUCCACCCAUAUGGAGCUGGGUGCCUGCACCUGUCCCUUACCUGAGAGCACGCUCUGGAUGCGGUCAUAAUGCAGGAAGUUGUAUGUGUUGCCUGUGAGGCUAGCCUCGUCUCUGGGCAGUGUCUCCUUCAGGUGGACUUCCAGCCCAUUCAGCGAUGCCAGGCUGCUGUGGUACUGCAGAGAGGCCAGGAGUGGGUCACAGGCUGGCAAACUUAGUUGAAAGGGCUUCGCUAUGUAGUGCUGACUGGCUUGGAACUCACUAAGAAAACCAGGCUGGUCUAACUUGUGCAAAGCCUUCUGCCUCUGCCUCCUGACUGCUUGGAUUAUAGGUGUGUACCACUCAUCCCCCAACCCCCUUUCUUCAUGUGUUAUAUGGCACACAUGCAGCUCAGAUGAGGGCAUCAGAUCCCUUGAAUGGGUGUUACAGGCAACUGUGAGCUGCCCAUUGUGGGUGCACUCAGGGCCUCUGAACAAGCAAGUACUCUAAACCCCUGAGCCAUCUCUCCGACUCUGGGACUGUCUGUUUUAACAAUAAUGGUGGCCUGGUGUUCCAGUGUUUCCCAACACCAGCA